GCCCGGGUGGCGAAAUUGGUAGACGCAAGGGACUUAAAAUCCCUCGGAGGCGACUCCAUGCCGGUUCGAUUCCGGCCCCGGGCACCA
rnacentral:tRNA from 3 species